GGAGAGCUGGCAUAAUGGUCGAAUGCACCGCAAUCGAAAUGCUGUAUCCAAGCGACCGUAUCGGGGUUCGAAUCCCCCUCUCCGCCA
rnacentral:tRNA from 1 species